CCUACGGGUGGCAGCAGUAAGGGAUAUUGGUCAAUGGGGGAAACCCUGAACCAGCAACGCCGCGUGAGGGAAGACGGUUUUCGGAUUGUAAACCUCUGUCCUCUGUGAAGAUGAUGACGGUACCAGAGGAGGAAGCUCCGGCUAACUACGUGCCAGCAGCCGCGGUAAUACGUAGGAUGCGAGCGUUAUCCGGAUUUAUUGGGUUUAAAGGGUGCGCAGGCGGAAGAUCAAGUCAGCGGUAAAAUUGAGAGGCUCAACCUCUUCGAGCCGUUGAAACUGGUUUUCUUGAGUGAGCGAGAAGUAUGCGGAAUGCGUGGUGUAGCGGUGAAAUGCAUAGAUAUCACGCAGAACUCCGAUUGCGAAGGCAGCAUACCGGCGCUCAACUGACGCUCAUGCACGAAAGUGUGGGUAUCGAACAGGAUUAGAUACCCGUGUAGUC
rnacentral:rRNA from 1 species